rnacentral:piRNA from 1 species
UAAAACGGAACGUGAGAGAGUCCCCU